ACCCUGAUCCAGCAAUGCCGCGUGUGUGAAGAAGGCCUUCGGGUUGUAAAGCACUUUUGUCCGGAAAGAAAACCAUCGCCCUAAUAUGGUGGUGGGAUGACGGUACCGGAAGAAUAAGCACCGGCUAACUACGUGCCAGCAGCCGCGGUAAUACGUAGGGUGCGAGCGUUAAUCGGAAUUACUGGGCGUAAAGCGUGCGCAGGCGGUCUGUUAAGACCGAUGUGAAAUCCCCGGGCUUAACCUGGGAACUGCAUUGGUGACUGGCAGGCUUUGAGUGUGGCAGAGGGGGGUAGAAUUCCACGUGUAGCAGUGAAAUGCGUAGAGAUGUGGAGGAAUACCGAUGGCGAAGGCAGCCCCCUGGGCCAACACUGACGCUCAUGCACGAAAGCGUGGGGAGCAAACAGGAUUAGAUACCCUGGUAGUCCACGCCCUAAACGAUGUCAACUAGUUGUUGGGGAUUCAUUUCCUUAGUAACGUAGCUAACGCGUGAAGUUGACCGCCUGGGGAGUACGGUCGCAAGAUUAAAACUCAAAGGAAUUGACGGGGACCCGCACAAGCGGUGGAUGAUGUGGAUUAAUUCGAUGCAACGCGAAAAACCUUACCUACCCUUGACAUGGUCGGAAUCCCGCUGAGA
rnacentral:rRNA from 5 species